GAUGAACGCUGGCGGCGUGCUUAACACAUGCAAGUCGAACGAAGCAUUUAGGACAGAUUACUUCGGUUUGAAGUUCUUUAUGACUGAGUGGCGGACGGGUGAGUAACGCGUGGGUAACCUGCCUUGUACUGGGGGAUAGCAUCUGGAAACGGCUGGUAAUACCGCAUAAGCGCACAAUGUUGCAUGACGUGGUGUGAAAAACUCCGGUGGUAUAAGAUGGACCCGCGUCUGAUUAGCUAGUUGGUGAGAUAACAGCCCACCAAGGCGACGAGGAGUAGCCGACCUGAGAGGGUGACCGGACACACUGGGACUGAGACACGGCAGAGAAUCCUACGGGAGGGAGCAGUGGGGAAUAUUGCAAAAUGGAGGAAACUCUGAUGCAGCGACGACGCGUGAGUGAAGAAGUAAUUCGUUAUGUAAAGCUCUAUCAGCAGGGAAGAUAGUGACGGUACCUGACCAAGAAGCUCCGGCUAAAUACGUG
rnacentral:rRNA from 1 species